GAGGCAUCAGUCUAGUAGGAUUACCCGCUGAACUUAAGCAUA
rnacentral:rRNA from 1 species